AAGGGUGCGUAGGCGGUUUGUUAAGUCAGUGGUGAAAGUUUGCGGCUCAACCGUAAAAUUGCCAUUGAAACUGGCGAACCUGAGUACAGUAGAGGUAGGCGGAAUUCGUGGUGUAGCGGUGAAAUGCUUAGAUAUCACGAAGAACUCCGAUUGCGAAGGCAGCUUGCUGGACUGUAACUGACGCUGAGGCACGAAAGCGUGGGGAUCAAACAGGAUUAGAUACCCUGGUAGUCCACGCCGUAAACGAUGAAUGCUAGCUGUUAGCGAUAUACUGUUAGCGGCACAGAGAAAUCGUUAAGCAUUCCACCUGGGGAGUACGCCGGCAACGGUGAAACUCAAAGGAAUUGACGGGGGCCCGCACAAGCGGAGGAACAUGUGGUUUAAUUCGAUGAUACGCGAGGAACCUUACCUGGGCUUAAAUUGCAGUGGAAUAACGUGGAAACAUGUUAGCCUUCGGGCCGCUGUGAAGGUGCUGCAUGGUUGUCGUCAGCUCGUGCCGUGAGGUGUCGGCUUAAGUGCCAUAACGAGCGCAACCCUCAUCGAUAGUUACUAACAGGUUAAGCUGAGGACUCUAUCGAGACUGCCGACGUAAGUCGUGAGGAAGGUGGGGAUGACGUCAAAUCAGCACGGCCCUUACGUCCAGGGCUACACACGUGUUACAAUGGGGGGUACAAAGGGCAGCUACCUGGCGACAGGAUGCUAAUCUCAAAAACCUCUCUCAGUUCGGAUUGGAGUCUGCAACCCGACUCCAUGAAGCUGGAUUCGCUAGUAAUCGCGCAUCAGCCACGGCGCGGUGAAUACGUUCCCGGGCCUUGUACACACCGCCCGUCAAGCCAUGGGAGCCGGGGGGACCUGAAGUAUGCAACCGUAAGGAGCGUCCUAGGGUAAAACUGGUGACUGGGGCUAAGUCGUAACAAGGUACC
rnacentral:rRNA from 1 species